GCGCUGGGUGGUCGAUGUAUCUACAGCCAAGCAAUCAGAGAAUGUGGCCGUGUCUACAUGGUACAAAGCCGCACUCUAUCCUGUAUUCAAGAGCACUGUUUGCUAACGAAGCUCUGACCUUCAUGGGUACGUAUUUCUAAAACAGUAGAGAUAGAAGUGGUGUGGGGUGGAAGAGCUAGACAUCCGACCUGUCCCCUGAGCUUUUUCCACUCCAAGGACUUACUUUCCUAUCUUCAAUUAAGAUUGCCCAAAAUAAAGGUGAUGUUUUGCUCAUCACCGUCCAAACGAGAGAAGAAUUGUUACGUGCAACCAGGAAGACACAGUAUAUGUCAGCCCAAGCUGAGCAGUCCUCGUGCCACACUGCCAGCCACCAGAGCUACAUACCAGGAGCCCCAGAAGUAAUUUCCCUUCUUGAGUAUCUGAUAUGUAACCCUCCGACUGUAACCAGCAGGAUCUGCUAUGGAAUUUGCGGGGCUGGUGUAGAAUUUUCAGGGUCCAAUGGAAAGAGAAAGCAGACCCUCUUCUUCAAAAGGCAUUACGUAUUUCAAGACAAUGACAGCAGAGCACCAAACCAAACCCCAGGCCUUCAUGGGGACCUAUGAGACGGCACUGGUCACACACCCAUGAAGCUGGCCAUGACCACCAGAAGAGUGGGUGGUGCUGUACCGGUCAGGAGACACACCAAUCUCAGUGCCCUGCAAAGAAAGUCCAUUUAAGCCCUAUAAUAUAGUUUCUGCACCACUGGGAGCUGCCAUUCAACAUGUGUUGAAUAAAUGAAUUGCCCGUGGCAUGAGCGAAUGGCCGAUACGGGAAUGUAAUGUAAUUUCUCCUCCAAACACCAAACUGAAGGAAAGAGUGUGGUAAAGUCAGCUGUUACAGAGAGCAUCAAUACAUCGACCAAGUCUAGGUCUUGGAGAAAGUAUAAGCCAGAACAAUGGUUUAAAAUGCAUUGAAGACAUGGGAAGAAUAGUCCUACUGGCUGGACUGACACACCCAUUAGGCUCAAGAGAGUUGCCUAAAAUUAUGAUCGCAAGUCAAGAAAUAAUAGGAAGUAUGAAACAUUGCUUCAGUUCGCUCUUUAGACUUUUUGCCUCUGGUUGAGCCAGGCCAACUGUUUAAAACAUCUCUGGGUUCCCUCCAAAGCUGCUGGGCUAGAACCAUUACUGACGAGGCCCUGGAAUCUGCAUUAUCCACAAAGCUUCCAGUUGAUUCUUUAACACAAAGAAGUUUAAGACUAACUGGUCUAACGGAAUUGUCCAUCCUUGACUUCAUAUUUCCCAAGGAGUGUUUCCGCCAGUCUGUUAAAAGAUUUGCCAGGGCACAGAUAACGUACCUGGUCCAGUGGACAUUGGGAAGAGAACCUUUGCAUGAUUUUGGCGGAGAAAAGUAGCGACAGAGCUGGAUAUCUGUAGAAACAAUUUUCUGGAGUAGCUUCACUGCCUCUGAGCUUCCCCAGAUCUUUUCUUUAUGGCCCAGGCACUAGUAGAAAUCAUUCCAUACUUAAUGUUCUGAGAGAAACACUUAAUGCAGUCCUAAGAAUAUUGUAUUAGAAGAGAAUGGCCGUGUUCAGUCAUUGGCUCGCCAGGCUGACUUAUGAGCCCAAGUCACUCGUCUGACUAGGUAAUUUCCAAGACUCAGCUCUAGUACCCCAGCAUGGUAGAAGCCAUGUGAUCACGUAGAAAGGACACUGGACCAGACCUCAGAAGACUGGACUCAGUCCGAGCUUCAGCUCCAAUUAAGUCUUGGAUUUUAAAGAGGACGCUCAGUAACAAUGACUUCAAGUGCCACCGCGUGCUGCUCGGCAAUGAGUACUCUCGAUCCUGAUUCCCUGAUCCCGAGUCUAGGUUCUGGUUCUGGCCUCUGAAAGCAGGCGGCGGGAGAUCUCUUUCCACCAAGAGGACGGACAGGACCGCGACCUCCAGUGGGCGCCCACAAAGCCCUUCUGGUCACGCCAGACAAGCCUUGGGAAGUCGGUUUGCGGCUCAUCUCUGCUCUUUCUUCGGUUUUUAGCAAGCACUGGAAACGGAGCCCACCAGCCCUACAGUCCACAGCAUCUGCAAAAGUGGCUGCCGAGGUGGACAUGUUAGAAGAGUUCAUUGGGUUGACAACUAAUCACACACGAACACUGCAGUGAGCAACGCCUCGUUUCCCCGUCGCUUUCAGGCUGCAGAUGAGAAGGAAAGGAGAACACGAUGAAGUCCGAAGAGCGGGGUUAGCUACAGCGGCAUGUGAGGCAGCUGGUGACACCUGCCCCUCAUUUCCGGGCACGCACGCACGCACACACCUGAUUCAUCCGUCCUCCAGCCAACUUUCUAAAAAGAGUUCAAGGGUUUGAAAUUAUUCAUAGCAAAUCUUUCCUCAACUUUUUGCAUAAUUGAGUAAUCCAACUACUGAAUAAAGAAGGACUUGGUAUUUUUGGCUUCCUGGAAACUGUAGGGGAGGAAAACGCUUCCUUCUACCCUUCUAGGUUCUGUGGCUGGAUUAAGAAUAAAGUUGUCAUAAGACGGAUUAAUAGGAGG